rnacentral:rRNA from 1 species
UAAACUCCCCUUUGUUGAGGAAGAUAAUGACGGUACUCAACAAGGAAGUGACGGCUAACUACGUGCCAGCAGCCGCGGUAAAACGUAGGUCACAAGCGUUGUCCGGAAUUACUGGGUGUAAAGGGAGCGCAGGCGGGAAGACAAGUUGGAAGUGAAAUCCAUGGGCUCAACCCAUGAACUGCUUUCAAAACUGUUUUUCUUGAGUAGUGCAGAGGUAGGCGGAAUUCCCGGUGUAGCGGUGGAAUGCGUAGAUAUCGGGAGGAACACCAGUGGCGAAGGCGGCCUACUGGGCACCAACUGACGCUGAGGCUCGAAAGUGUGGGUAGCAAACAGGAUUAGAUACCCUGGUAGUCCACACUGUAAACGAUGAUUACUAGGUGUUGGAGGAUUGACCCCUUCAGUGCCGCAGUUAACACAAUAAGUAAUCCACCUGGGGAGUACGACCGCAAGGUUGAAACUCAAAGGAAUUGACGGGGGCCCGCACAAGCAGUGGAGUAUGUGGUUUAAUUCGACGCAACGCGAAGAACCUUACCAAGUCUUGACAUCCCUUGACGAUGCUGGAAACAGUAUUUCUCUUCGGAGCAAGGAGACAGGUGGUGCAUGGUUGUCGUCAGCUCGUGUCGUGAGAUGUUGGGUUAAGUCCCGCAACGAGCGCAACCCUUAUGGUCAGUUACUACGCAAGAGGACUCUGGCCGGACUGC